UGAAGCUGACCAAGCCAUGAACAUCUUAAAUAUAGUCUGUAUUUUUUUCUACUUGGGAAGAAUUUGGGGACAGGAACAAAAGUAUGUUGUCUUAGCACCUAAAGUAUUCCAUAUUGCUGCCUCUGAAAGAGUAGUGGUGCAAGUUUAUGGAUAUACAGAGUCAUUUGCUGUGUCUGUUGCUAUUAAAAGUUAUCCUGACAAAAGUUUCACAUAUUCUCAUGGCCAAGUAUACUUAUCUCCAGAAAAUAAAUUUCAAGGCUCUAUAAGCCUCACUAUACAACCCAAAGAUUUGUCUGGAGGGCCAAAUGCAGUUUCACAAGUGUAUUUAGAAGUGACAUGUGCUCACUUUUCAAAAUCAACACCUAUUCCUCUUUGCUACGAUAAUGGAUUCAUCUUUGUCCAGACAGAUAAAUCGAUUUACUCUUCACGUGAGCCAGUGAAAGUUAGAGCUUAUGCACUGAAUGA